rnacentral:rRNA from 1 species
GAUGAACGCUGGCGGCGUGCCUAAUACAUGCAAGUCGAGCGAACAGACGAGGAGCUUGCUCCUCUGACGUUAGCGGCGGACGGGUGAGUAACACGUGGAUAACCUACCUAUAAGACUGGGAUAACUUCGGGAAACCGGAGCUAAUACCGGAUAAUAUAUUGAACCGCAUGGUUCAAUAGUUAAAGACGGUUUUGCUGUCACUUAUAGAUGGAUCCGCGCCGCAUUAGCUAGUUGGUAAGGUAACUGCUUACCAAGGCAACGAUGCGUAGCCGACCUGAGAGGGUGAUCGGCCACACUGGAACUGAGACACGGUCCAGACUCCGACGGGAGGCAGCAGUAGGGAAUCUUCCGCAAUGGGCGAAAGCUUGACGGAGCAAAGCCGCGUGAGUGAUGAAGGUCUUCGGAUCGUAAAACUCUGUUAUUAGGGAAGAACAAAUGUGUAAGUAACUAUGCACGUCUUGACGGUACCUAAUCAGAAAGCCACGGCUAACUACGUG